UUUGUGUAAUAUAUGUAUCUUAAUCUAUAUCAAUAGCUAAUAACUUUCGUUUAAUAUAAAUUGAGAUUUAACAGGAAUGAAUAAGUGAAUGUUGUAGUAAUUUUAGAAAUUGUAAUGGAUUAAAGGCCACUUAAUCUAUAUCAACCUCUGUAUCAAUAACUUUUCUCAAGCCAUCACCAAUUCUUGACAACUCUGAGUGGGUUAAGGGCCAAAUCAUUGCCAAGCUAAUGUUGUAUCUGUUGCAAGAUGCAACUCCGCAUGAAUAUCACUAAAUGCAUAGUUUUCUUAUUCAUGUUUGUAAUAAGCUAUACUAUAUAUAGGGAGCGACUCACGUGAGAACAUUGCACUAUUGUGAGAAAUUAGAACAAUUAAUAUCUAUAUAAAUAUUUUGCAUGUCUUUAUAUUAUGUAUUUUUUUAAAAACUAUUGUAAUCUGUUAACAGAGCUCAAAAG
rnacentral:lncRNA from 1 species